UACGUAGGGUGCGAGCGUUAAUCGGAAUUACUGGGCGUAAAGCGUGCGCAGGCGGCUUUGCAAGACAGAGGUGAAAUCCCCGGGCUCAACCUGGGAACUGCCUUUGUGACUGCAUAGCUAGAGUACGGCAGAGGGGGAUGGAAUUCCGCGUGUAGCAGUGAAAUGCGUAGAUAUGCGGAGGAACACCGAUGGCGAAGGCAAUCCCCUGGGCCUGUACUGACGCUCAUGCACGAAAGCGUGGGGAGCAAACAGG
rnacentral:rRNA from 1 species